AACGAACGCUGGCGGCAUGCCUAACACAUGCAAGUCGAACGAGCCCUUCGGGUCUAGUGGCGCAUGGGUGCGUAACGCGUGGGAACCUGCCCUUAGGUUCGGAAUAACUCUCCGAAAGGGGUGCUAAUACCGGAUAAUGUCUUCGGACCAAAGAUUUAUCGCCUUUGGAUGGGCCCGCGUUGGAUUAGCUAGUUGGUAGGGUAAAAGCCUACUAAGGCGACGAUCAAUAGCUGGUAUGAGAGGAUGAUCAGCCACACUGGGACUGAGACACGGCCCAGACUCCUACGGGAGGCAGCAGUGGGGAAUAGUGGAAAAUGGGCGAAAGCCUGAUCCAGCAAUGCCGCGUGAGUGAUGAAGGCCUUAGGGUUGUAAAGCUCUUGUACCCGGGAUGAUAAUGACAGUACCGGGAGAAUAAGCUCCGGCUAACUCCGUG
rnacentral:rRNA from 1 species